rnacentral:rRNA from 1 species
CUUGGCGACCAUAGCGUUUUGGACCCACCUGAAUCCAUUCCGAACUCAGAAGUGAAACGAAAUAGCGUCGAUGGUAGUGUGGGGUCUCCCCAUGUGAGAGUAGAACAUCGCCAGGC